rnacentral:pre_miRNA from 1 species
GUCUUACUCCCUCCGUCCGAAAAUACUUGUCAUCAAAAUGAACAAAAAGGGAUGUAUCUAGAACUAAAAUACAUCUAGAUACAUCCCCUUUUAUUCAUUUUGAUGACAAGUAUUUUCGGACGGAGGGAGUAUAUU